GGGGAUUUAGCUCAGUGGUAGAGCACUUGCCUAGCAAGCACAAGGCCCUGGGUUCGAUCCUCAGCUCUG
rnacentral:tRNA from 1 species